GAUGAAGAACGCAGCGAAAUGCGAUACGUAAUGUGAAUUGCAAAUUCAGUGAAUCAUCGAGUCUUUGAACGCACAUUGCGCCCCCUGGUAUUCCGGGGGGCAUGCCUGUCCGAGCGUCAUUGCUGCCCUCAAGCACGGCUUGUGUGUUGGGCUCCGUCCUCCGAUCCCGGGGGACGGGCCCGAAAGGCAGCGGCGGCACCGCGUCCGGUCCUCGAGCGUAUGGGGCUUUGUCACCCGCUCUGUAGGCCCGGCCGGCGCUUGCCGAUCAACCCAAAUUUUUAUCCAGGUUGACCUCGGAUCAGGUAGGGAUACCCGCUGAACUUAAGCAUAUCAAUAAGCGGAGGA
rnacentral:misc_RNA from 1 species